rnacentral:rRNA from 1 species
GUCUUCGGACCAAAGUGGGGGACCUUCGGGCCUCACGCCAUCGGAUGUGCCCAGAUGGGAUUAGCUAGUAGGUGGGGUAAUGGCUCACCUAGGCGACGAUCCCUAGCUGGUCUGAGAGGAUGACCAGCCACACUGGAACUGAGACACGGUCCAGACUCCUACGGGAGGCAGCAGUGGGGAAUAUUGCACAAUGG